rnacentral:rRNA from 1 species
GACGAACGCUGGCGGCGUGCCUAAUACAUGCAAGUCGAACGCAGUGGGGACGGGUGAGCAACACGUGGGCAACCUCCCAUCAGAGGGGAUAACACUUGGAAACAGGUGCUAAACCGAGACUGAUGGAUGGACCCGCGUGGGAUUAGCUUGUUGGUGAUGUAACGGCUCACCAAGGCUACGAUGCAUAGCCGACCUGAGAGGGUGAUCGGCCACACUGGGACUGAGACACGGCCCAGACUCCUACGGGAGGCAGCAGUAGGGAAUCUUCGGCAAUGGGCGAAAGUCUGACCGAGCCACGCCGCGUGAGUGAAGAAGGUUUUCGGAUCGUAAAGCUCUGUUGUUAGAGAAGCGGUAUCUAACCAGAAAGCCACGGCUAACUACGUGCCAGCAGCCGCGGUAAUUC